GCAGAAUACUCCAGCAGCAUCGGAGUCCAGACGAAAUACUUCAAAUUCUAGUUCAUCACCCACGUUUACCUCCAGGAUCUGCCACUGCUCAGCCGGCAUCUGCUCGGGUUUAGGGAUGGAUGCAUUGAAACACCCGUGUACUAAACAGCCAAUGUGGCUAGAAGACACCUUAUUAACUGUACCCUGGGAAGACAGAAAGAAAACAAAACCUCAAGCUCUCUAAAGAGUUUAAAAGGCAAAUAAAACUUUAUAUGCUUUAAACUGAUCUUCACAGAGAAAACAUCAAAAUAAUGGAGUCUGGUGUUCCCAGUGGUACAUUCUGGACGGUAUGGACAAGCUGCAGUGCCUCUCUACAACGGAGUACUAGUCAGCAAUGCAAAACAAUGAACUAUCAAGGCAUGAAAAGACAUGGAGGAGGAACCUUAAGACUAAAUACAUGCUGCCCAGCGAAAGAAACCAAUCUGAAAGCCUACAUAUAUUGGGAUCCAACCGGAUAAGGUAAACUAGAGAGACAUUAAAAACAUGAAUAGUGGCCAGGAUUUCAAGAGAAGGAAGCAGAGUGAGGGGUGAAUAAGUAAAACAGGAUUUUCAGAGCAGUCCCCAAUUAUUCUGCAGGAUACAGUAAUGGUGGACAUCUGUUGUUAUGUUCUACAUUCCACGGGAUUUAGAAUGUACAACACAGAGUAAACCCCAAUUCAAGACUUUAUUUAAUAAUGUAUUAAUUCUGGCUUAACAAGUAUAACAAAUUUAUCACAUUAAGAUGUCAAUAAUAGGAGAAACUGCUUAUAUGUGCUGAGCUGGGGGAGUGAAGAGGUGGUAUUUUCCAUUCCUUUUUUCUGUAGAUCUCAAACUGCUAUAAAGCUUAUCCAAGAAAUAAUAGGAAAAGAAAAGUCUUUUCAAUAUAUGGUUCUGGAGCAACUAAAUAACCAUAUGAAUAAGAACACAGAUUUUAAGGGUCUACCUCUCAUAUUAAAGACUGGCCAUAGAGCUAAAUGGAAAAGAUAAAACGAAAUACUUUCUAUAAGCUUCUAGAAUUCACAUUCUUAGACAGGAUCCAGAAAGCAAUAACCAUAAAAGUAAAAUAUGACCAAGUGGACCUCAUUAAUGUUAACAAAUAUUCAUAAUCUGUUUAUAAAUGUCCUAUAAAUCCUUUUCAAGUAAACAGAACUACUCAACCUCAGUAACACAAAAGCCCAACUAAAACUGGGCAAAGCAGUUAAACUGAUGGAUAAAUACUAGAUUCUCCUUAAUUUACAUUUCCUUCAUGAGCUCUUUUUCAUGUGUUUCAAUAAGAAAGGCCUGUUUAAUUAAAAAAGACUAACAAAACCAAAUGCUGGCAAGGACACAAAGCAACUAAUAGUGUUGAAUAUUUAAUUUUAUGGAAAAAAAGCUAAUUUCUCAAACACCUACCCUUUGACUUAAUACCAUUUCUAGUUCCUACCUAGGAGAAAUGAAAAUAUACAUUCACACAGCUUUACUCACAAUAGCUCCAGAUAGACACCAAAAUGUCCAUCAAUGAAGAUGAACAAUCAAAUGGUAAUAUGCUCAUAUAACUGAAUUCUACAAAAAACAAAAUGAAUAAAACUAGCAAGACACCACCAAACAGCAUGGAUGUGAGCAAAAGAGGUUUCAUCAAAGAGUGUAUAAAAAAAAAAUUCCACUAAUAUAAAAUGAUAAGCUAAGCAAAAACUAAUGUAUGAAGCAGAACAGUGGUUAUAUCUGGAAUAAAGAGGAUUGACCAGGAAAGGGCAGGAGGGUCAUUUUAAAAAUAAAAUGGUAAAUAUGCACUUGUCAGAAUUCACUGACCUGCACUCUAUGGUCUGUGUAUUUUGUUGUAUAUAAUUUAGACCUAUUUUAUUGUAUGUAAAUUAUAUGCUGCAUUAAAAUUGAAAAACUCCCCAAAUGCAUUUGAAGACUGGAUCUCAUUUAGGUAAUAGUAUGAAAGGAGAAAUAAAAUUACUCCUUUUACUCUU